AGUAACGGCGAGUGAAGCGGCAACAGCUCAAAUUUGAAAUCUGGCCUCUUUGGGGUCCGAGUUGUAAUUUGUAGAGGAUGUUUCGGGUACCGCCUCGGUUUAAAUUUCUUGGAACAGAAUGUCAAAGAGGGUGAGAAUCCCGUCUUGGACCGGCGGUAGGGCCCAUGUGAAACUCCUUCGACGAGUCGAGUUGUUUGGGA
rnacentral:rRNA from 1 species